ACGGGUGAGUAAUGCAUAGGAACGUACCUUCGAGUGGGGAACAACCACGGGAAACCGUGGCUGAUACCGCAUAAUCUAGUAAUAGUAAAGAUGGCCUCUAUUUAUAAGCUAUCGCUUGAAGAUCGGCCUAUGCCCCAUUAGCUAGUUGGUAAGGUAAUGGCUUACCAAGGCAACGAUGGGUAGCUGGUCUGAGAGGACGACCAGCCACACUGGAACUGAGACACGGUCCAGACUCCUACGGGAGGCAGCAGUGGGGAAUCUUGCACAAUGGAGGAAACUCUGAUGCAGCGAUGCCGCGUGAGUGAAGAAGGCCUUCGGGUUGUAAAGCUCUUUCGAUUGGGAAGAAGGGUGCUACUGCGAACAGUUGUAGCAUUUGACGGUACCUAGAGAAGAAGCACCGGCUAACUCCGUGCCAGCAGCCGCGGUAAUACGGAGGGUGCAAGCGUUGUUCGGAAUUACUGGGCGUAAAGCGCACGUAGGCGGGUUUGUAAGUCGAUUGUGAAAGCCCCGGGCUCAAUCCGGGAACUGCAGUCGAAACUACAAGUCUUGAAUGCUCUAGAGGGUGACGGAAUUCCUGGUGUAGAAGUG
rnacentral:rRNA from 1 species